GUCAGAAUGGGGAAAAAGGUUUUGAAAAUAUUGGCAGGAUAUGGCGUUGGGUAACUACCUGCACCCUGGUCUGGUUCUUCCUCAUUUGAAGGUAAAUAGUCAAAGUGAAGGAUUUGCCAUAUUAUAUGAAGUUAUUGUAAAACAAAAUUUGUUAGCAGAGACCACCAGCAGCUUCAGAAGAAAGUGAUUAUACCCAGUCCAGUGAUGUACAAAAUAUUUUUAGAGAGUUGAUUUUGUUUUCAAGCUAUGUAUCAGGAUAUCAGUUCCUUUUGUCAAUGUAUAGAGACCAAUGGCAAGAACAUCCAAUAUCUGUGUGAGUGCUUCGUUGUAUAUUUGAUUCGGCAUACUGCAUCUCCUAAUUCUGUUCCUGAAAUACAACUGUAAUGAUGUUGUUCAGUUUCAGUAUGCUCUUGUAUACCCUCAUGCAAUGUAAUAUCAAAAUGCUUUCUGUUACUAAGAGAAGUGUGUGUGUGAAUACAACUUUGUGUAUGAAGCACUUCCUUCUGUCUCUUAGCCUGUUGAGAAACAAGUUUGAUUGUUUUAUAGAAUUUUGCUUUGUUUGAAGAAAUUAUUGAGAGAUGGAAACCUCAUCUUUCAGCUAGAAAGAUGAGGUUUGCCGUGAAGAUUGUAAGUGAAUUUAUUUUUCUCUCCUCAGGGAGGAAGGUCCAUAGUCCACAUCCAGCUCCUCCAAAAGUUGUCUCCUUCUCUCAGGAGCAUCCUGCCUGUUUGCAGGCACGUUCGUUGUUUGGAAGAACAUGGCUGUCAUGGAAGGUCGUGGUCAGAGAAGGGGAAGGAGGUCUCACAGGAUAUAUAACUUCACUCCGAGAUCUGAGUUGAAGUGAUGUACACACUACACCGUUCACAAUUUCUUCAGACCAGUUCAUUCACCAAAGGUGUUCUUUCAGAAUCAGACAGCAGACAGGGAGAGAUGAAUUUCUAAAUUAAUAUCAGCUUUGGAAAACUUCUGUAAAGAGACCGUGAUACACUGCCAGCAUCAUUAUGCUUGGGUCCUACCGAAAGAGAAAAAAACCAUUGGGAUGCGAAGUGUCUUGGAAAGAAUGCAGAGUCUACUCUGAGGAGCUUGCAGUACUGAGAUCUACUCCCGCACUAGGCCAUGUUUAUUCAUCAAAUGGAGAAACACUCCCUGUGUCAGAGAUAUUAUCUGCAUUAGUCAUCAGUACAAGUGUUUGCAUAGCCAGGCCAUCAGCAGAGGAUCUCAGCUGGAGAUCCGGGGGAGAGCUACUUUCUUUACAUUGGCUCUGUGAGAUGAGUGUUAAUUUCACCUGAAUUCAAACUUAACAUUAAUGGUAAUCUGAUCUCUAAUCAUAUGUUGACCUCAGUCUCAUUUUAUUUCAUGUUUUAUUUUUUUCUUCUGUACAUCAUCUCACUGAUUUCAAUACAUCUUUCUAUCUCACUGUUGUCUAACA
rnacentral:lncRNA from 1 species